GAGAAGCUCUGCCAUCCGGGAGGAGCUCAACGUAAAGCCGCUGCUCCUUCACAUCGAGAGGAGCCAGAUGAGGUGGUUCGGGCAUCUGGUCAGAAUGCCACCCGAACGCCUCCCUAGGGAGGUGUUUAGGGCACGUCCGACCGGUAUGAGGCAACAGGGAAGACCCAGGACACCUUGGGAAAACUAUGUCUCCCGGCUGGCCUGGGAACGCCUCGGGAUUCCCUGGGAAGAGCUGGACGAAGUGGCUGGGGAGAGGGAAGUCUGGGCUUCUGGGCUGCUUAGACUGCUGCCCCAGUUAUUCGACCUCUGAUAAGCGGAAGAAGAUGAAUAUGCGACACGAUGUAUACAUGUGGCCUUGAGAGCCCCCCCACCCAGAUACACAAUACAGGCGGCGGCGGCAGGCCACGCGUUGAGUCAUCUCGCCGCCUGUGGCUGCGUGCAGACGUGUUCCAUUCUGUCAGAAGAGGCGCAGCACGCAGGAACCAAUUCACACACUCCCCCCGCCCACCAACCACCUCCACGUUUGGCAAGCCCCCAGGGAACGUCGGCGUGCCAAAAGGGGCUGCAGUGUAUUGUUCAUCACACAAGUCAGCCAUGUCGGGGAAGUGAAUGCCAUGGAAGGAAUUCUCCCUCCCAGAUAGAGAAAAGCAACACCACGCCACGCCGCAUCUGCUUUGGCUUGCUGCUGCUGCUGUCUAGGAAUGUCACAAACAAGACAGCAACAAGUGAGAGGAUAUUUAACACGGUGAAGGCCAACUGUAAAGCUUUUUUUUUCAAAAAUGUAAGAUUAUUAUUGAAUAGUUGCUUAAAGGGCCCCACUUGUAUUAACAACAUUGUCACUCAUAUCAUGGUUUUAGACAUUAAAAUGUAAAGUACAAUUCCCCCCAAAAUAGACAGUAGUAAUUUUAGGCUUGUGUUCUAACAGAUGUCAGUACAUUUUGGAGCUAAAAUUGGGUAUGCUGAAGUCAGAAUACUGGAGGCAAUUUCAUAUUGUCUGGUAUUUAGGUAUAGCAUCUUCAUCCUGAAUCACAAUAUUUUCGCAAAGUAUUUGACACAAUUAUCAAAUAUGUCUCCCAAGUGCAUUCUUGCAGGGUGUGGCAAUAAAACUAAAAACAUGGGUCAGCCUGCAUACAUUUGGGAAUGUGACAAAGGUAUGGACCUCUUCAGUCAAAGCGACUCGCACAAAAUGGGACAGACCAAGUGAGAGAAUUGUAAUUUGCAGCAAUCAUUUUAUUGAUUCGAACUUCAAAGAAUGGUUUUGGUCGGAAUUUGGAUGGGAAAAAAAUAUAAUUCUCAAGCUAAAUAACAUCAUGAAAAUCAGGAGCAUCCUCCAGGGAAGAAAGACUGAGUCGGAACCUGCGGAAAAACAGAGAUCGAAGCGCAGACCUAAAAAAUUUAAGAAAAAUACGGCAUGCCGCUAGUAUUUUAUUUUGCGUCCUUUGCUGUUUGAGGAAAUGCUGAAAGAGCAUGAGGAAACACAGGCUAUGGUGUCUAAAGAAGAGUAGGAAGGAAAGUCAUAUGUUUCCCCAUAAUGUUAACCGUAUCAGUUUUGAUGUAAUUAUGGAACGGAGCCACAAAAAGAUGCAAAAAAGUGAUCAAAAGAAUAAUUUCACAUGCCUUUAACCACAUUGUCUCUGUAGUAAAAAUGGGCUUUAGUUCUGCAGAUGAUGUCCCACCGAGAGGGGGCGGCAUAUCAAGUCUGGCAAUGAAAAGGGGGCGUUCCAAGAACAGUUAGUUAGCUAUACUUUAAUUAACAACAAAGUGAUAUUAUGAGAAAUGACUGGGAGAUUCAUUUUCAACUGCGAUGAGGUGGCGACUUGUCCAGGGUGUACACCGCCUUCCGCCCGAUUGUAGCUGAGAUAGGCACCAGCGCCCCUGAGACCCCAAAGGGAAUAAGCGGUAGAAAAUGGAUGGAUGGAUGGACGGAUUCAUUUUCAAGAGCAAAAAAUACAUGAUUAGAACUUUUUAGUGAAAUUUUACGUCAUCUGGACGCUAAGGGUCUUUUAAAGCAACUGGAGGGCAAGUUUGCUUGAAAUGGAAGUUGUGUUGUUUUUGCGACGAGAAAAUAAAAAUUGGCUGUUUUUAAGGAAGGCUUGGAAUUUAAAGCCGAACAGUGUCCAGAUAAAAAGAUGAUAUUACAGAUAUUGCAUUACCAUUCUUCAUUUUAAUAUUCUUUUCAUAAGUUAAAGAAUUAGGUUGGCGCGUACUGCCCGAGAAGAAACAGCAAGUCAGUCUUUUGUAGCUCUCUGCUGAUAAUACAAGGACGCUGUGGCUUUCCACAACUCUCUGAGCAGCUGAUGAAGUUUGGAAAUCCACAUGAAGGAUGAGGGAAGAGCUGAAAACAAUGGAAAGAGUUUAAUGCCGACGUUAACAGAGAGUUUUGAAAUGUAAAUAAUAGGGAUGGGUACCGAAUUCGGCACUUUUAUAGGUGCAGUCUGAAUUCCAUCUGUAUCAUUUUUGAAAAAUUAACAGUACCAUAUUUUGAUACCUUUGCAUGCAUCAUCACGGCCAGUAGCAGGCUCGGAACCCAUUCAAGCACUUGGCGGGCAAACAGGCGUAUUUGACUGCCUCUAAAUAAUCUUGCAAUUUUCCAAGCCAACAAAUGACUGAGAGAAACCGCUGAAAAGUAAGGGGCUAGCUCGACGCUAAUUUGGGGCGCUGGAUCGGUUCGCAGCAGAGUGUGAAGCGACCGGAAUGAGAAUCAGCACCUCCAAGUCCGAGUCCAUGGUUCUCGCCCGGAAAAGGGUGGAGUGCCAUCUCCGGGUUGGGGAGGAGACCCUGCCCCAAGUGGAGGAGUUCAAGUACCUAGGAGUCUUGUUCACGAGUGAGGGAAGAGUGGAUCGUGAGAUCGACAGGCGGAUCGGUGCGGCGUCUUCAGUAAUGCGGACGUUGUACCGGUCCGUUGGGGUGAAGAAGGAGCUGAGCCGGAAGGCAAAGCUCUCAAUUUACCGGUCGAUCUACGUUCCCAUCCUCACCUAUGGUCAUGAGCUUUGGGUCAUGACCGAAAGGAUAAGAUCACGGGUACAAGCGGCCGAAAUUAGUUUCCUCCGCCGUGUGGCGGGUCUCUCCCUUAGAGAUAGGGUGAGAAGCUCUGCCAUCCGGGAGGAACUCAAAGUAAAGCCGCUGCUCCUUCACAUCGAGAGGAGCCAGAUGAGGUGGUUCGGGCAUCUGGUCAGGAUGCCACCCGAACGCCUCCCUAGGGAGGUGUUUAGGGCACGUCCAACCGGUAGGAGGCCACGGGGAAGACCCAGGACACGUUGGGAAGACUAUGUCUCCCGGCUGGCCUGGGAACGCCUCGGGAUCCCCCGGGAAGAGCUAGACGAAGUGGCUGGGGAGAGGGAAGUCUGGGUUUCCCUGCUUAGGCUGUUGCCCCCGCGACCCGACCUCGGAUAAGCGGAAGAUGAUGGAUGGAU